GAUGAACGCUGGCGGCGUGCCUAAUACAUGCAAGUCGAGCGAACAGACGAGGAGCUUGCUCCUCUGACGUUAGCGGCGGACGGGUGAGUAACACGUGGAUAACCUACCUAUAAGACUGGGAUAACUUCGGGAAACCGGAGCUAAUACCGGAUAAUAUAUUGAACCGCAUGGUUCAAUAGUGAAAGACGGUUUUGCUGUCACUUAUAGAUGGAUCCGAGCCGCAUUAGCUAGUUGGUAGGGUAACGGCUUACCAAGGCAACGAUGCGUAGCCGACCUGAGAGGGUGAUCGGCCACACUGAAACUGAGACACGGUCCAGACUCCUACGGGAGGCAGCAGUAGGGAAUCUUCCGCAAUGGGCGAAAGCCUGACGGAGCAACGCCGCGUGAGUGAUGAAGGUCUUCGGAUCGUAAAACUCUGUUAUUAGGGAAGAACAAAUGUGUAAGUAACUAUGCACGUCUUGACGGUACCUAAUCAGAAAGCCACGGCUAACUACGU
rnacentral:rRNA from 1 species